CCCGCACAAGCGGAGGAACAUGUGGUUAAUUCGAUGAUACGCGAGGAACCUUACCUGGGCUUAAAUGGGGAGUGACAGCUGUCGAAAGAUGGUUUUCUUCGGACACUCUUCAAGGUGCUGCAUGGUUGUCGUCAGCUCGUGCCGUGAGGUGUCGGGUUAAGUCCCAUAACGAGCGCAACCCUUACCGUUAGUUACCAUCAGGUUAAGCUGGGGACUCUAGCGGGACUGCCACCGUAAGGUGAGAGGAAGGUGGGGAUGACGUCAAAUCAGCACGGCCCUUAUGUCCAGGGCUACACACGUGUUACAAUGGCCAGUACAAAGGGCAGCUACCGGGUGACCGGAUGCUAAUCUCUAAAGCUGGUCUCAGUUCGGAUCGAAGUCUGCAACCCGACUUCGUGAAGCUGGAUUCGCUAGUAAUCGCGCAUCAGCCAUGGCGCGGUGAAUACGUUCCCGGGCCUU
rnacentral:rRNA from 1 species